GACGAACGCUGGCGGCGUGCCUAAUACAUGCAAGUUGAGCGAUGAAGAUUGGUGCUUGCACCAAUUUGAAGAGCAGCGAACGGGUGAGUAACGCGUGGGGAAUCUGCCUUUGAGCGGGGGACAACAUUUGGAAACGAAUGCUAAUACCGCAUAAUAACUUUAAACAUAAGUUUUAAGUUUGAAAGAUGCAAUUGCAUCACUCAAAGAUGAUCCCGCGUUGUAUUAGCUAGUUGGUGAGGUAAAGGCUCACCAAGGCGAUGAUACAUAGCCGACCUGAGAGGGUGAUCGGCCACAUUGGGACUGAGACACGGCCCAAACUCCUACGGGAGGCAGCAGUAGGGAAUCUUCGGCAAUGGACGAAAGUCUGACCGAGCAACGCCGCGUGAGUGAAGAAGGUUUUCGGAUCGUAAAACUCUGUUGGUAGAGAAGAACGUUGGUGAGAGUGGAAAGCUCAUCAAGUGACGGUAACUACCCAGAAAGGGACGGCUAACUACGUGCCAGCAGCCGCGGUAAUACGUAGGUCCCGAGCGUUGUCCGGAUUUAUUGGGCGUAAAGCGAGCGCAGGUGGUUUAUUAAGUCUGGUGUAAAAGGCAGUGGCUCAACCAUUGUAUGCAUUGGAAACUGGUAGACUUGAGUGCAGGAGAGGAGAGUGGAAUUCCAUGUGUAGCGGUGAAAUGCGUAGAUAUAUGGAGGAACACCGGUGGCGAAAGCGGCUCUCUGGCCUGUAACUGACGCUGAAGCGCGAAAGCGUGGGUAGCAAACAGG
rnacentral:rRNA from 1 species